rnacentral:misc_RNA from 1 species
GAAAUGCGAUAAGUAGUGUGAAUUGCAGAAUUCAGUGAAUCAUCGAAUCUUUGAACGCACAUUGCGCCCCUUGGUAUUCCAUGGGGCAUGCCUGUUCGAGCGUCAUUUGUACCCUCAAGCUCUGCUUGGUGUUGGGUGUUUGUCCCCGUCUCCGCGCGUGGACUCGCCCCAAAGUGAUUGGCAGCCGUCGUACUGGUCCCGGAGCGCAGCACAUGUCGCGCAAACGAGUGCCUUGGUACGGCGGCGUCCAUAAGCCCCUCUCUCACGCUCUUGACCUCGGAUCAGGUAGGGAUACCCGCUGAACUUAAGC